GAUAACUGGGGGCAAAGCCCAUGCAAAUACUCGGUGACCAGGAGAGUGGCCGUGUGGAGAAGCAGGGCAGGAAUGUGACCACCCAGCUGGGUGAGGGGCUGCUGGCGUGGAGGCAGCUGCCUGCUCAGCUCAGCCCAGCUGCAUUUUCUCCUCUUGCACCCUGGUGAGAACCAGUCUUCCUUCGGUUCUGCCUGAGGACCCUGUAGGUGCUGAAAAUGGAAUACAGCUGGCAGGUAGUGGGGAGACAGUGGAAACGUGCCCUGAUACUAUUCUGAGAAAAAAAAAAGAGCUUUAUUGCUUCUUGUCAGACUAUACUAUGUUUUAGGAAGUGUUGGGUUCCCCCAAAGAGAAGGUGCAGGGUGCUGGGAGCAGGAUCCUCAGUUUGUAAGAACGCACUCACUGCUCCAAGGCAGCCAACAAAAAAUUUUUAAAAAGGGUGAUUGAAGGUUCAACUUUUGACAUGUAAAAUCCAGUCAUAGCUUGGGUUUCCCAGAAGCAGUCCCUGAGACAAAGAUUUUAGUGCAACAGUUUAUAUGGGAGGCGAUCCUGGGAAACACCAGAAGGGAAGUGGAAAAUUGAAAUGUCGAAGGAAGCCAAUAAAAUAUGCGUUAUUGAGCAGAUGGCCCCUGUGACCAACUAGGCUCAGUAUCUCUGGGGAACCCCCAGAGACAGUGUAGAGUAAAUUCCAGAAUUAUGCCAUCCAAGGGAAAAGGGAGCUGAAUCAUUCAUCUCUCAGCUGUUGCAAGCUAUUGGUGGAGGGAUUUUCCCAAGAGGCAUUACCUCCCAGGCUUGUCCUCACUUUGCCUGUGUGGCCUCCAGUGAUCAGACAAAACCCAAAGGAAAAGAGCCAGGGUGCGGAUUGGCAGAAGCUAUUCUGGCCCAUGUGCAGAGCAUCAAGAAUGUGUGCUGCAAAAGGCUGGAGUUCAAUGGCACAAUCUCGGCUCAUUGCAACCUCUGCCUUCCAGGUUCAAGCGAUUCUCCUACCUCAGCCUCUCAGUAGCUGGGAUUACAGGCACCCGCCACCACAUCCAGACAUUUAGAAAUUAUUACAGGAACUUUUUCUGGACAGACAAGAACCUAAGUCUGAACAUCUAAAAGGCUCACAAAGAAUCAAGCAAAUUCAUUGAAAGAGACCAACACUUAUUAGACCUAUCUUCGUGAACUGAAGAUCGAGAAAAAAAUUCCAAGAGGCAUUUGGACAGAAAAGCAUGUUGACUCCACAGGAACAAAAAUCAAACUGCAUUCAAAAUUCUCCUCUGCAAUGUCUAAUGGCAGGAGAAAUAAAAUGGUACCAACAGAGCUUCAAGGGAAAAAGACUGCAUUCUAAGAAACCUAUAUUUAGGAAGUUGUUCAAGUGAAAGGGUAAUGGAAGAAAUGUUCUUAGAUGUGCAACUCACUGUUACAACCUUCUAAACAAAGCCCUCGAAGACCUGAUUUAACUGACAGUGAAUGAAUCUAAAUACAGAGCUGUGGGAUGUGAGAGUCACAUCAGUGACCACUGAAACAAGUAUAAAGAAAAUUAAGUCUAGAUGAUUGUUUUACAUAUAAUUAUAAAACAGAAUAAAAGUGUAAAACGCAACUCUUGGAAGAGGAUAUUUAUAGUAUAAAAAUGGCCUAAUUAUAAUAAUUUGAACCUAAUGUUUUGCCGUACAAAAAUAGAAAUGAAGGAGAUAGAACGGUAGGAGAAAACACUUAUUUCCUCAUUGUUCCCAAGAGGGAUAUUAUUUAACUCUUGAUAAAGAUAACUGAAAAUACAAACAGGAUGUAUCCUUUCUAAAUUACUAAAAAAAAUAAAAAAAAAAGCAAAGAAAAUAAAUUCCAUGUAACAAUCAUACUUUAUGUAACACACUGAAGUUUUUGGUCUUUAAUCUUCUUAUCUCCAGAGAUUGCUGCGACUCCUCAUCCACUCUGUAUCAUAGCAUCACCUCCAGUAUCAUUAAUGCAAGGCACCCCAUUUCUGACCACAGCUUCCUUCUUUUCCUUCUUGGCUUUAUUUUUAUUUAUUUAUUUAUUUUUGAGACGGAGCCUCGCUCUGUUGGCCCAGGUUAGAGUGCAGUGGCAUGAUCUCAGCUCACUGAAACCUCCACCUCUCAGGUUCAAGCAAUUCUCCAGCCUCAGCCUCCUGAAUAGCUAGGAUUACAGGCACCUGCCACCAUGCCUGGCUAAUUUUAGUAUUUUUAGUAGAGACAGGGUUUUGCCACGUUGGCCAGGCUGGUCUUGAACUCCUGACCUCAGAUGACCUGCCUGCCUUAGCCUCCCAAAGUGCUGGGAUUACAGACAUGAGCCACUGAGCCUGGCCACGUUCUUGGCUUUUUAAUUGCAACCAUUGAAAUAGAUCUUGAUUUCACUGUGACCUCUAGCUUCUUUAUCUUCAAUUUGCCCCAUCCUUCAGCCGUCCCCUUUCUUUAGUUUUCUACCUGUCCAGGUUAGAUUUCAGGGUCCAUUGUUUCAGCGAUAGUACUGCCAAAAUCCUAAACUCCCUUGCCCCUUUGGGCUUUUGUCAGACCCCAUCUGGCUGAAGACCAUUCCCAGAGCAACCCACACUGUGUGCUGUCUCUCUUCUUGUAUUUAAGCAGCUGGAGAAAAACACAACAGAGCAGAUUGUACCAUCAUAUAUUCAUAAGCAUGCAUUCUGAAUGGGCACCACAGUGCCAGAAUCCUUCAGAUAUCUCUGGUCAAUCUAUAGUCCAGCAAUCCACAAUGACCAUUCCAGAUCUUCUCUAGCUUCCUUAAAUGCCCAACUUUCCUACCCAUCAACGGAUGCCUUUAUUUCAUAUUUCACAGAGAUAAUAGACACUGUCACAUAAGGCAACUCCCCCCACUCCACACCCCCAAAUCCUGCUACCAAACUCACUAACACAACAGCAUCUGUACCUAUCUGGUCCUCCUUCCUGCCUAUUCCAUAGAGGAGCUGUUUUUCUUUCUGAAAGAGAUCAAUUCCUUACAUGUGCUUUAGACCCCAUCUCCUUUCUUCUUCGCAGGAAUCUUAUAAUUUAGGUGGUUCUGUAUCUCUUGAAUAUCCAAUCUCUUUUCAACCUCAUCAAUUGCUUCAAGUUGUAAACAUUAAACAAAUUAUAUUCAGCUUUCAAAAAAAAAAGGGAGGAAAUCCUGUCAUUUGGGACAACAUGGAUGAAACUAGAGGACAUUAUGGAAAAUGAAAUAAAGCAGACAUGGAAAGAAAAAUACUACAUGAUCUGACUUACAUGUGGAGUGUGAAAAAGAACUCAGAAGCAGGAAGUAGAAUGGUGGUUACCAGGGUCUUAAGGGGUUGGAGGGUUGGGAAGAUGUUGGUCAAAGGACACAACAUUUCAGGAGGAAUAAGUUCAAGAGAGCUAUUGUUUAACACGGGAACUAUAGUUAAUAACAAUGUAUUGCUUUCUUGGAAAUUGCCAAGAGAGUAGAUUUUAAGUGUUCUCACAGCAAAAAUGAUUAGUACGUGAGGUAAUGCAUAUGUUACUCAGCUCAAUGUAGCCAUUCCACAGUAUGUACAAGUUUCAAAGCAACAUGUUGUAUAUAAUAAAUACAUAUAACUUUGGCAAUCAAAUCAAAUAAAUAAAAGAAAAUAAAAAUAAAUGGAGAGAUAUUACAAAAAUUCUACUGCAUUAAUAGUCACUAAUUCCAGUGCUUUGUAUGCCUUUGUGGAAAGGUUUUCCAAUCGUGUGGCACUAUUGACUUUUUUUUUUUUUUUUUUUUUUUUUUUUUUUUUGGUGACGGAGUCUCGCUCUGUCACUCAGGCUGGAGUGCCAUAGCAUGAUCUCAGCUCAUUGCCAUCUCUGCCUCCCGGGGUUCAAGCCAUUCUCCUGUGUCAGCCUCCUGAGUAGCUGGGAUUACAGGCACAUGCCACCAUGCCCAGCUAGUUUUUGUAUUUUUAGUAGAGAUGGGGUUUCACUGUAUUGGUCAGGCUGGUCUCGAAUCCCUGACCUCAUGAUCCGCCCGCCUCGGCCUCCCAAAGUGCUGGGAUUACAGGCAUGAGCCACUACACCCGACCAGCACUAUUGACAUUUGAGUCCAUGUAAUUCUCUGCUGUGGAGGCUGUCCUGGGCAAUGUAGGGUGUUAAGCAUCAUCCCUGACUUCUACCCAUUAGAUGUCAGUAGGACCCUCCCCCACCUGUGACAAAACUCCUGAUCUUCUUCUGUUUCCUCUAACCUCCUGAUCUUCUAUCUUCUCCCCUUUCCUCUAAACUCAGUCCACUCUAAAGAUCUUAGAGAAUGACAACAUUAUGCAUACAGUUAAUUGCACAAGACUGAAAUCAGAGAGUCAGCCUUGAUACCACCUUCUUCUUCAUUUUUCAUGUGUGAUUCAUCAUCAAAUCACACUAUUUUUCACUUCCUAAAUAUACCCCAAUCCCAUCCAUCUUAUUCUUUCAUCACUGCCACCUCGCUAAUCCAAACUAUCAUAAUUUCUUACCUGGACCACUGCAAUAAAUUCCUAACUUCAUCCUGCGUCUUUGACUUCCUUCCAACUUGUUCACACUAUAGCUAGUGUACUUUUCAAAAUAUAAAUCUUGCAAACCCUUCACCCCCACCAACUUAUAAUCUAAAUAACCAAUUAACCAACUUAUGUCUUUGUAGGUAUAAUCUCUGCAAUAUACUCAUAUUCAAAAGCUAAGAAAUAGGUAGGAUCCAAACUCAGGUCAAUUUAUGUCUAUAAAGAGACAGUUUUUGAGUAUUUGAGUAAGUAUCAAUUCCAAAUGAGAGAGAACACUGAGUUUACAGGAGAGAAAGAGGAGAGAAUCAUAGGUGUGAUAGCAAGUGUUUGCACUGCACACACAUACAAAAAAUCAAGAGCUUCCUUCAAAUUUAUGCAGUUAAAUUUUGUAUUGGUUUGUUAUCCUUGGGAGAUGUCUAUACCUCCUAUUAGUUAUAGGGAUGAAGUAGAUAAGUAGAGGGUUAUGCAGGAGAAAGUUUAACAAAUCUUUGCUUUACAAGUAUGAUGUUCAGUCGCACUGAGACUGUUUUCUAAGUAUCUUGUGGGACACAAAUAGAAAGAUGAAUAGGAUGUUGUCCCGGUUUUCAAAGCUCUACUUGAAUUUUCCUGUCUCAUCAUUUACCUUUCCUGUCUCAUCCUUUGCAUUUCCUGUCUCAUCCUUUGCAUUUCCUGUCCCAUCAUUUGCAUUUCCUGUCUCAUCAUUUGCAUUCCCUAUCUCAUCAUUUGCAUUCCCUAUCUCAUCAUUUGCAUUUCCCUUCUCAUCAUUUGCAUUACCUCUGCCAAUGUUUUCCACCUCCCAAAACUCCAUCAUUUCUUCCCUUUCCACUAACAUUUUGCACAUGGCUGUAUUGUCAUUUUUCCUAACCUAAGGGGAAAUAAAAAAUCCAACAAGACCUUGUUCAAAUCACAUUCCAAAUAAGGAGGAGGAAUGAGUUGUAAGAGUU